GCCUUUAGUUGCCAGCAGUUCGGCUGGGCACUCUAAAGGGACUGCCGGUGUUAAACCGGAGGAAGGUGGGGAUGACGUCAAGUCCUCAUGGCCUUUAUGACCAGGGCUACACACGUACUACAAUGGCCGAUACAAAGGGCAGCGACACUGCGAGGUGAAGCCAAUCCCGUAAAAUCGGUCUCAGUCCGGAUUGGAGUCUGCAACUCGACUCCAUGAAGUUGGAAUCGCUAGUAAUCGUGGAUCAGCAUGCCACGGUGAAUACGUUCCCGGGCCUU
rnacentral:rRNA from 1 species